rnacentral:tRNA from 1 species
GCCCGGAUGGCGGAACUGGUAGACGCGCAUGGUUCAGGACCAUGUGGCCGAAAGGCUGUGCAGGUUCGAUUCCUGUUCCGGGCA